AGGUAUUGAAAUAAGGCUUUAAAUGAGUGCUAAGAGAAUGGUUUAACAAUUAUAAGCUUUCUUUAAUUAAAAAAUUAAAUUUAAUUUUUUUGUGAAGAAGCAAAAAUUUAAAUUAGGGACAAGAAGACCCUAUGAAUUUUAUAUUAAAUAAUAUAAUUUAAUUAAAUUAUAUUAUUUAAAUUAAUUGGGGUGAUUUAAAAAGAAUAUAUAUCUUUUUAAAAAGUUAAUUUGUUCCGUUUUUAACGAUUUUAUGAAAAAAAAUACUCUAGGGAUAACAGCGUAAUAAUUUUGGAUAGUUCAUAUAGAUAAAAUAGUUUGCGACCUCGAUGUUGGAUUAGGAUUCUUUUUUAAUGAAGAAAUUAAAAAGAAGAAGUUUGUUCAACUUUUAAAUUCCUACUUGAUC
rnacentral:rRNA from 1 species